UACGUAGGGGGCUAGCGUUGUCCGGAAUCAUUGGGCGUAAAGAGCGCGUAGGCGGCUGGAAUAGUCCGGUGUGAAAUCCACAGGCUUAACCUGUGAAUGCCGCUGGAAACUGUCUGGCUAGAGUCCGGAAGGGGCGAGUGGAAUUCCUGGUGUAGCGGUGAAAUGCGUAGAUAUCAGGAGGAACACCGGUGGCGAAGGCGCACAUCUGGCCCGAUACUGACGCUGAAGCGCGAAAGCUAGGGGAGCAAACGGG
rnacentral:rRNA from 1 species